rnacentral:tRNA from 1 species
CGGAAGUAUCUCAAUUGGUAGAGGAGCCAACCGUUUGGUGAAAGACCCAUGAAGGAAACGAGGUAGGCAGGGUUGUAGGUUCGAGUCCUAUCUUCCGAA